GUGGGUAGUUUGACUGGGGCGGUCUCCUCCUAAAGAGUAACGGAGGAGCACGAAGGUUGGCUAAUCCUGGUCGGACAUCAGGAGGUUAGUGCAAUGGCAUAAGCCAGCUUGACUGCGAGCGUGACGGCGCGAGCAGGUGCGAAAGCAGGUCAUAGUGAUCCGGUGGUUCUGAAUGGAAGGGCCAUCGCUCAACGGAUAAAAGGUACUCCGGGGAUAACAGGCUGAUACCGCCCAAGAGUUCAUAUCGACGGCGGUGUUUGGCACCUCGAUGUCGGCUCAUCACAUCCUGGGGCUGAAGUAGGUCCCAAGGGUAUGGCUGUUCGCCAUUUAAAGUGGUACGCGAGCUGGGUUUAGAACGUCGUGAGACAGUUCGGUCCCUAUCUGCCGUGGGCGCUGGAGAACUGAGGGGGGCUGCUCCUAGUACGAGAGGACCGGAGUGGACGCAUCACUGGUGUUCGGGUUGUCAUGCCAAUGGCACUGCCCGGUAGCUAAAUGCGGAAGAGAUAAGUGCUGAAAGCAUCUAAGCACGAAACUUGCCCCGAGAUGAGUUCUCCCUGAGACUUAAAGUCUCCUGAAGGAACGUUGAAGACGACGACGUUGAUAGGCCGGGUGUGUAAGCGCAGCGAUGCGUUGAGCUAACCGGUACUA
rnacentral:rRNA from 1 species